rnacentral:rRNA from 1 species
AGGACGAACGCUGGCGGCGUGCUUAACACAUGCAAGUCGAGCGGUGAUCCUCCUUCGGGAGGUGAGCAGCGGCGAACGGGUGAGUAACACGUGGGCAACCUGCCCCUCACACUGGGAUAACCUCGGGAAACCGGGGCUAAUACCGGAUAUGACUUCAAGCGGCAUCUCUUGAAGUGUAAAGCUCCGACGGUUAGGGAUGGGCCCGCGGCCUAUCAGCUUGUUGGUGGGGUAAUGGCCUACCAAGGCGACGACGGGU